rnacentral:rRNA from 1 species
AUAUCCUUCGGGAUAUAAGCCGAGUGGCGCAAGGGUGAGUAAUGCAUAGAUUACCUGCCUCUAGGAUAAGGACAACUUUGUGAAAACGAAGCUAAUACUUAAUAAUACAAAAGAAAAUAAUUUUCUUUUGUCAAUGGGAGGGUAGCAAUACCUUUUGCCUAGAGAGGGGUUUAUGUCCUAUCAGCUUGUUGGUGGGGUAAUGGCCUACCAAGGCGAAGACGGGUAGCCGGUCUUAGAGGAUGGUCGGCCACACUGGGACUGAGACACUGCCCAGACUUCUACGGAAGGCUGCAGUCGAGAAUCUUUCGCAAUGCCCGAAAGGGUGACGAAGCGACGCCGCGUGAGUGAGGAAGGCCUUAGGGUUGUAAAGCUCUGUCAGGAGUUAAGAAAUAUAAGUGUGUUAAUACCACGUUUAUUUGACGAAGGCUCCAAAGGAAGCCACGGCUAACUCUGUGCCAGCAGCCGCGGUAAUACAGAGGUGGCAAGCGUUGUUCGGAAUUAUUGGGCGUAAAGAGCACGUAGGUGGGUUUGUAAGUCAGAUGUGAAAGCCUUCUGUUCAACGGAAGAAUUGCAUCUGAAACUGCAAGUCUUGAGUGUAGGAGGGGAGAAUGGAACUUCUGGUGGAGCGGUGAAAUGCGUAGAUAUCAGAAGGAACGCCGGCGGCGAAAGCGAUUCUCUGGCCUAUUACUGACGCUCAGUGUGCGAAAGCUAGGGGAGCAAACGGGAUUAGAUACCCCGGUAGUCCUAGCCGUAAACGAUGGGCACUAAGUAGAGGGAAUUACCGAUGUUCUCUCUGCCGUAGCUAACGCAUUAAGUGCCCCGCCUGGGGAGUACGGCCGCAAGGCUAAAACUCAAAAGAAUUGACGGGGGCUCGCACAAGCGGUGGAGCAUGUGGCUUAAUUCGAUGCAACGCGAAAAACCUUACCGGGGCUUGACAUGGUAGAAGUAGGAACCCGAAAGGGUAACGAACGGUAUCCAGUCCAUAGCUAUCACAGGUGUUGCAUGGCUGUCGUCAGCUCGUGUCGUGAGACGUUGGGUUAAGUCCCCUAACGAGCGAAACCCUUGUUUUUAGUUACCAGCGGGUUAUGCCGGGUACUCUAGAAAGACUGCCGUCGUCAAGACGGAGGAAGGUGGGGAUGACGUCAAGUCAUCAUGGCCCUUAUGCCCCGGGCUGCACACGUGCUACAAUGGUCGGUACAAACGGAAGCGAAGCCGAGAGGUGAAGCGAAUCCUAAAAAGCCGAUCUCAGUUCGGAUUGGAGGCUGAAAUUCGCCUCCAUGAAGUUGGAAUCGCUAGUAAUCGCGGAUCAGCAAUGCCGCGGUGAAUAUGUUCCCGAGCCUUG